CUAGAUAAAAAAUGAUAACGGUAAUCAAUUGUGAUAAAAACAGUUAUAUAUUACAUUGCAAUAUUUUAAGAUUUAUUUUAUUAGUGACAGAUUCACAUUAAACUUUUGAAGUAUUUUAAAAAUCUUCCAAUUAUGAUGAAAAAAAUUGUUUAUUGUGUCAUGAUUGUUAUGUUACUUUCAAUAACAAUGGUGUUGUCAGAAUAUAAAAAAUGUUCAGUAAUUGGAGAAUUUUGUUCUAUUGCUGAGGAUUGCUGCAAACCAUUCCACUGCCUUGGUUUCAUGAAAAAAUGUGUCUCAUAAAAUAGAAAAGCCCAUCCAUUAGACCUGUUUGAAAUUUCAACUUCAUUUUUUAUAAAUUCAAUAAUUAAACAAUAAAAUGGAAAUUUAAUGAA